GGGGGUGCCCUGGUUUCGACGGGAGGAUUCGUAGUUCGUACUGCAGGUGGAGCGCCAACUCCUAAAACUAGCGCACAACUUUAAGUGCCAAAAACGAAGAUGAGAUCGUUGUCGAAUUCGACGGCGCCCUCGCCCUGGCUGCUUAAAUAGCAACCACGGAUCUCCAUCACGCUGUUCCGAGGGAUGGAUGCUCCGACACAAACCGGGACUUACCGUCGCGUCGGUCUGGAGUCGCGUAGGGACAUUUUUCCAGGAUAAGGCCCGGACGGUUGUCGACCGCCUAACCCGGACACGAAAAAUUAUCGGUUGACUAAACCUGUAGAUGUGCGGUUUGCGCCCUACCGGACGGGGGUUCGAUUCCCCCCACCUCCAGAA
rnacentral:tmRNA from 1 species